rnacentral:rRNA from 1 species
UGGUGGAGUGAUUUGUCUGGUUAAUUCCGAUAACGAACGAGACGUCCGCCUGCUAAAUAGCGCGACUUGGCUAGCCAGGUCUGCGCUUCUUAGAGGGACAAUGGGUGUUUAGCCCAUGGAAGUUGGACGCAAUAACA